ACCCAUCCAAGUACUAACUUCGCCCGACCAGGCUUAACUUCGGUGAUCAGACGAGAACCGGUGUUUUCCGGGUGGUAUGGUCGUAGACAUUAGUCACACCCUAAUCAAUUCGAUUUCUAAGUAGCAUUUUGCCAAUGCGCGAAAUGGUUAUAGAAAUAUGCUGCGCUGAAUAUCAAAGUUAAUUUCCAGCGAAUCCGGUGGCGGCCUAGCAAAAGUGAAAGUCUACAACACGAAGUAUUCCCAGGCGGUCACCCAUCCAAGUACUAACUUCGCCCGACCAGGCUUAACUUCGGUGAUCAGACGAGAACCGGUGUUUUCCGGGUGGUAUGGUCGUAGACAUUAGUCACACCCUAAUCAAUUCGAUUUCUAAGUAGCAUUUUGCCAAUGCGCAAAAUGGUUAUAGAAAUAUGCUGCGCUGAAUAUCAAAGUUAAUUUCCAGCGAAUCCGGUGGCGGCCUAGCAAAAGUGAAAGUCUACAACACGAAGUAUUCCCAGGCGGUCACCCAUCCAAGUACUAACUUCGCCCGACCAGGCUUAACUUCGGUGAUCAGACGAGAACCGGUGUUUUCCGGGUGGUAUGGUCGUAGACAUUAG